rnacentral:rRNA from 1 species
CCUACGGGGUGCAGCAGUGAGGAAUCUUUGUCAAUGGACGAGAGUCUGAACCAGCCAAGUAGCGUGAAGGAUGACUGCCCUAUGGGUUGUAAACUUCUUUUAUAUGGGAAUAAAAUGUUCCACGUGUGGGAUUUUGUAUGUACCAUAUGAAUAAGGAUCGGCUAACUCCGUGCCAGCAGCCGCGGUAAUACGGAGGAUCCGAGCGUUAUCCGGAUUUAUUGGGUUUAAAGGGAGCGUAGGUGGAUUGUUAAGUCAGUUGUGAAAGUUUGCGGCUCAACCGUAAAAUGGCAGUUGAAACUGGCAGUCUUGAGUACAGGAGAGGUGAGCGGAAUUCGUGGUGUAGCGGUGAAAUGCUUAGAUAUCACGAAGAACUCCGAUUGCGAAGGCAGUUCACUGGACUGCAACUGACACUGAGGCUCGAAAGUGUGGGUAUCAAACAGGAUUAGAUACCCUGGUAGUC